CAUAUCAUUUGACAUCACGUUAAAUUUGUACACUUUUUUAAUGUCAUUUAUUGCUCUUAUUUUAUUUGUACCAAACUAAGCAUAAUACAAAAAUUGAGAUGAUGGAUAUUUAGUUGGAGAUGAUCACUCACCCAUUUAGUUGUCUCUACCUACUCGGGAACUCGCCAUCAUAAAGAUUAAAGAUAUUCCCACCAACAGAGAAUAUAUUUUGAUUCACCCCCAACCACUUUAAUUAAAGUUUCACUUGUUUAUAUCAAAUUCUUCUAAAAUUCAAAUGUCUAAUUUUUAAAUAGAUACAUGAAAUUUAAAAUUUUUAAUUUACUAUAUAAAUUUUCAGCACUUUCUAA
rnacentral:lncRNA from 1 species